AUGUAGUCGUACGGAGAGUGUGCAUUUCUACGUUUAUUCCUUUAGAGUACGAAAGCAGACUGACGUAAAAACUCGCAUUGUCCUUCCUAUGGUCCUUUUCGUUGGCAUUAAACCGAUCAACGCACGCUGAAUGGAGAAUAUUUCAAGUUUAACGCGUCAUAAGAGUGGGAAGUUCAUUAUAUAGAUGGCGUACUGACUGCGCUUGCGCGUAGGUCCAGUUAGUCUUCCCGCUAUUGGUGAUUCCGCCAUUUGGAAUUAUGUCGUCGUAUCAGCCGCAACAGAUCUUCGUCGUCUCAUUAAUUACAGUACUGAGCACAACUGAGAAUGAUGGAAGCGCAUAAUCCCUACCAUGUAGCAACAACGCGAGCGUCCGGUUUCUCUUUUUCCUCUUAACACGACAAGUUUCAUUGUCAAGUGUUCGCAGAAGAAAUGAAGGUCGUAACAAAGGGAACUCAUGGCAAGCGUGAAGCCAUAUGUAGUUCUUUUCUUAAUAUCUACUUUAAUAUUGGUUGAGUAAGACUAUAAUAAAACACGUACCAUGUACUUCAUUGCUAUUGCGAACUAAUUAAUGUACGUAAUAAAGCAACUUAAUAUAAGUCGGUUUUUUUGCAUUUGUGCACUGUCUGCCUGCAAAGAUACACUUUUUCUUUCAAAAAAUAUAUUUUCUCUUCCUUUUUUUUUUUCGUCUUUUUUUCGUAUCAAAAAUAGAUAUUUUUUAAGAAAUUAUAUAGGUCAGUCCAGUUCUUGAAAUUUAUAUAGAUUAAUGCUGUCCGAAAAUAUUUGUCAUAGUUUCCUCCGUGGUCGAUUUUUAUUUCCUGUCGCUUAUACAUAAUCACAUAUUUAUUGUUUCUGCUUUGUUCCUUUCUUUUCGAUAGUCGAACAUUCUCGAUCAUAUAUCAUUAUCGAUUCAUGAUACAUUACUUCGAUCAUAAAUGACGUAAUUAUUCGAUAUGUAUAAAUAAAAUUUCGACGAUUAUUUUCACAUAUACAAAUACGUAAAUCCAUUGAAUUAUUUCGAUUUAACAAUUACUCAUUAUUUCAGACGUAAUAUAUAAAGCAAAAGGAUCAUCUACACACUCGUAAUAGAAGUGUAUAUCUAUUAAACGUUUUUAUAUCUCUAGAAAGUAUAAAUGUUUCGUUAGAAAAUUAUUCUCUAUGUUUAUAAUAUGAAUUAAUUACAUUUGUCUUUCGUAAACUUAUUUAUGAGAAAAUAUAAUAAUUGAUUAUUUAAAAAAUUGCACAUAUAAUACUACAUUUCUUCGAAUUUAUAUCUUACGUUACCCCGACGAAAAAACAAGCUUAUACUGAAUAAAAUCUUAGCUAACCCUAUCAGACAAACAAAAAGUGAUUAUAAUGGUGUCACGCCGAAGUAUUAUAGUAAAAAAAAAAAAAAAAAAAAAAAAAAAAAAAAAAGUAUACGUAGUUAAAUAAAACUGUUUUUGAGCUUCCAUAUAAAUAUAUUUCAUAAUGAUAAAAGAGGCUCAAUGAGUUUAUAUGAUAAAAAAGGACACGUCAGUGA